AGCCUGCCCAGUGAUAAAUUCAACGGCCGCGGUACCCUAACCGUGCAAAGGUAGCACAAUCACUUGUUCCUUAAAUAGGGACUCGUAUCAACGGCACCACGAGGGCCGCACUGUCUCCUCUCUCCAAUCAGUGAAACUGAUCUCCCCGUGAAAAAGCGGGGAUAAAACCAUAAGACGAGAAGACCCCAUGGAGCUUCAAAUUAACAGCAACUUCGCUACCCCCCUCCCCCAUAGCACACAAAGAUAUGCAUGUCAAUUUUAGGUUGGGGCGACCACGGAGCAAAAACCAACCUCCAUGACGUAAAGAACUAAAUCUUUAUCCCAGAACCACAACUCUAAGAAUUAGCACACUAACGAAAUGACCCUAUUAGAUCAACGAACCAAGUUACCCUGGGGAUAACAGCGCAAUCUACUUUAAGAGCCCCUAUCGACAAGUAGGCUUACGACCUCGAUGUUGGAUCAGGGUACCCCAGUGGUGCAGCCGCUCCUAACGGUUCGUUUGUUCAACGAUUA
rnacentral:rRNA from 1 species